GCAAUCUAUACUGUGAAACUGCGAACGGCUCAUUAAAUCAGUUAUAGUUUAUUUGAUGGUACCUUACUACAUGGAUAACUGUGGUAAUUCUAGAGCUAAUACAUGCCUAAAAGCCCCUUCACGGGGGUGUAUUUAUUAGAUAAAAGACCGUUGGGUUUCGGCCCUCUUGGUGAAUCAUGAUAACUGCUCGAAUCGCAUGGCCUUGCGCCGGCGAUGCUUCAUUCAAAUACCUGCCCUAUCAACUUUCGAUGGUAGGAUAGUGGCCUACCAUGGUUGCGACGGGUAACGGGGAAUUAGGGUUCGAUUCCGGAGAGAGAGCCUGAGAAACGGCUCUCAUGACUAAGGUCAGCAGCAGGCGCGCAAAUUAUCCACUCGCAACACGCGGAGAUAGUGACAAUAAAUAACAAUAGAGGGCUCUUUUGGGUCUUCUAAUUGGAAUGAGUACAAUCUAAAUCCCUUAACGAGGAUCAAUUGGAGGGCAAGUCUGGUGCCAGCAGCCGCGGUAAUUCCAGCUCCAAUAGCGUAUAUUAAAUUUGCUGUG
rnacentral:rRNA from 1 species